rnacentral:rRNA from 1 species
UACAGAGGUCCCGAGCGUUGUUCGGAUUCAUUGGGCGUAAAGGGUGCGUAGGCGGCGGGGUAAGUUUGAUGUGAAAUCCCGGGGCUCAACCCUGGAAUUGCAUUGAAUACUACCUUGCUAGAGUACCGGAGAGGAAACUGGAAUUUACGGUGUAGCAGUGAAAUGCGUAGAGAUCGUAAGGAAGACCAGUGGCGAAGGCGAGUUUCUGGACGGUAACUGACGCUGAGGCACGAAGGCCAGGGAGCAAACGGG